rnacentral:sRNA from 1 species
GGAAGAAUCAUCUCAAAACGUAUUUUAAGACGGUUCCGACGACCUGCCGCUGAGCUGAAGCGCGGGGGGCAACACAUG